rnacentral:rRNA from 1 species
CGCGAAAUUUCCCUUCGGGGAGAAAGUAGAGUGGCGCACGGGUGAGUAACACGUAGGUAAUCUACCUUUGGAUGGGGAAUAACGCAGAGAAAUCUGCGCUAAUACCGCAUAAUGCAGCGGCACCUAAUGGUGACAGUUGUUAAAGCGGGGGAUCGUAAGACCUCGCGUCUAAAGAGGAGCCUGCGGCGGAUUAGCUAGUUGGUAAGGUAAUGGCUUACCAAGGCUACGAUCCGUAACCGGCCUGAGAGGGCGGUCGGUCACACUGACACUGACAUACGGGUCAGACUCCUACGGGAGGCAGCAGUCGGGAAUUUUGGGCAAUGGGCGAAAGCCUGACCCAGCAACGCCGCGUGAAGGAUGAAAUCCCUCGGGAUGUAAACUUCGCAAGAACGGGAAGAAUAAGUAGGGGACAAUACCCCCUAUGAUGACGGUACCGUUUGUAAGCUCCGGCUAACUCCGUGCCAGCAGCCGCGGUAAUACGGGGGGAGCAAGCGUUGUUCGGAUUUACUGGGCGUAAAGGGCGCGUAGGCGGUCAGCACAAGUCAGUUGUGAAAUCUCCGAGCUUAACUCGGAAAGGUCAACUGAUACUGUGCGACUAGAGUGCAAAAGGGGCAACUGGAAUUCUCGGUGUAGCGGUGAAAUGCGUAAAUUUCGAGAGGAACACCUGCGGCGAAGGCGGGUUGCUGGGCUGACCCUGACCCUGAGGCGCGAAAGCUA